rnacentral:piRNA from 1 species
UGCGUGAACUGCGGUACAGAGUUGAGAUGAGUCUGGAUCUUUUCAUUCGGUUGAGAGAGGACUUGAAGGUUUUUAGUGCUAUUAUGCUAUCUUGGGCGGAAAUUUGGGAGAAGGUGGCUGUGUCCUGCAAUAUUUCCAAGAUUUUGGCGUGGUACGAAGAUCGGUCCAAGAUUACGGUGUCAGUGCCCUUAUCUGAUCUGCUGAUGACUAUUGAACAUUGUUUCAUUAGUCUGCGGAGGGCCUUGGAUUCAGUUUGGGAAUUUGGCCUUUGCCUUACACAAUCCGAUAGUAAUAUAGGAAUAAUGAAUUAUCCUAUUUAAUUCUUAAUGAACCCUAUAGUCCUGCAGUAUAAAAUAUUAAGGAAAUAGAGCAGGAGUUUAUGUACAAAAUUGAAUUGUGACAUUUGUACAUAUGUACAUAGUCGCCAGUUCCAGGGGAUCUCGAGGCUGCUUCCUCAGCUCUGCAAGUGGACUUUUAGGGUACUCCAGCUGCGUUAGAUUCUCCUUCUGGACAGCAAAAACUUCGGAAAGGUUACUGUGCAUAUUAUUUAUGAUGUUUACAUCAUUGUUGGGUUGUUAUGGUAAAAUGGACCCAACAUAUUUAUGGUAAUAUCCUCAUAGUACAAAUAUUGAGGUGUGAUGUAUUUUUUGGAAUAUUUAUGGUAAUGUCCUCAUACUACAAACAUUGAGGUCUGAUGUAUUAUUUGGAAUAUUUAUGGUAAUGUCCUCAUAGUACAAAUAUUGAGAGAUCUGAUGUAUUAUUUGGAAUAUUUAUGGUAAUGUCCUCAUAGUACAAAUAUUGAGAUCUGAUGUAUUAUUUGGAAUAUUUAUGGUAAUGUCCUCAUAGUACAAAUAUUGAGAUCUGAUGUAUCAUUUGGAAUAUUUAUGGUAAUGUCUUCAUAGUACAAAUAAUGAGAUGCCUAAAGCAUGCCUGUGUGCCAUAGUACAUUCAGCCCAGACAAUAAAUUUGCAUUGUCUAAGAACUUCGCCCAUUGCUGAAUCAGCAUUCAAAUUACAAACUGGUACCUCAUCCCUGGUCAAAUUUAAGGUAAUUUGAAAGUCGAAUGAGCUGUUGCUGGCAAAGGGCAAAAAAUUCUGUCAACGGGGUCUUAGGUGGACGGUGAGCCCGUAGUGCAGCAUUAGCAGAAGUAAAAUAUACACGCUGCCCAUUUUCCAAAUGUACAGAGAUAUGUUGAACCAUUGGAUGGCGUCUGUGAAUAGGGAAUCCCAGAAUGCGCCAAACAGCUUCAUUGCUACUAAUAUAUCGACCACGUUGGUACUCUAGCACUUCAUUAGACUCUGUUUGAGCACCAGUAACUGCAAAAAUUGAUUGGUCUGAACCCUUGUAUAUGUAUUUGCAGAUAUAUUUUAUAGCAGAGAUUGAAGCACAGGACUCCACAUUGAUGUGAGCAUCAAAUAGUCUGCAUAGAAGAGGCGAAUAUGGCACAACAUACCUAUUAUCAAUGGUAACAUUAUUCAUGCGCACAACCUGAACACCAUUCUCAAUGGUGAAAACUCUCACUCUUUUAACAAAAGAAAAGCCACCUUCCUCAGGCCUGCGACGUCUGUACAAUGGGUAGCCAUCCCUAUCUGUCUGUGUUUCAGCCAAGAGUAGCCGUGGAUAUUUCUUUUGGCAUCUACCCCGUUCCAUGCAGCCAGGAUUAGGAUACCCAUGUCCACAUGGCCCAUGAAUCAUAUUUUUGGUUACAGUCCGAAACAGUGAAGCAUCAACCUCCUCAUUGGGGAUUUCAGCACAAAUGAUCGAAUCAAUCUGGUUUGGGCGAAUCUUUUCUUUAAGCCACAAUAAAAUGUGCGCAUGUGGUAGGCCUAGCCUUUGCCAUUCAAUGGUAUAACACCAACAUUGGGGCGCGCGCGCGCUUGCCAAAAACAUAACUCUUGGUGAUCAAAUCUAUAUAAGCUUGGCAACUUUCAAUUGAAAAAUGCGAGCAACCAAGUCAUGCCGAACAAAUGCACCUUGGGUGGGGAAUUGCAUUAGUUUUAUCUCAGGCCACUCAGGAUUGCGAGUUAGCAAAUAAAAAAAAAAUUCAAAACGUAUUAUAUAGGCAAGGCCAUACCUCUGCAAAAGUUUAAUAUAUUAUACCAAAAAAAAAAAAACCUGCAAAAUGCGACAGGAAGUCGCUUUGAGGCAUGCCGGACCUAUUUUUUUUAUCAUGGCUGUGCAAAUCUUUGCCAUGUGGCCUGCCUCCCCGCACCUGAAGCACUUAAUGGGUGUCCGCUUUGUGUUGGGGCCUUCAUACCCCCUAAGCGUUCCUCCUUUGGUUGCUGCUGGAGGGCCUUCCUUGCGCUGCUCUUGUGGGGCUCUACCAUUGGGGUUCUGUUGGGGUUCCUCCUGCCUGGCCCCCUGUAUAAUGGGCUGGUUGUUUUGAGCGGAACCUCCUCUUCCCUGGAAACCUCUGGUCUGGUUGUUGUUCCACCUGUUUCCAAUAUUCACCCUGGGUUGCUCCCUGUGGGUCCUCCUCAGGUCUUGGUUUUCAGUCUCCAGGUUCCUUAGCUUGGAUUCCAGUCGGGCCAUCUGGCUUGUUAACUCCCUCAAUUUCCUGGCACUCCCCUCUUCAUCUUCCAGUUGGCAUCUGGAGUACUCAUCAUCCCUUUCUUCGAUCUGAUGGAGACUGCUCACCAUCACCUCCCAUGGCUCAUUCUGGAGUUGGUGGGCUCUCUGCCACAGGUUUGGACAGAGUCCAGUGAGGAAGAUAUCAGCGACCUCAGUGAUGUUGAGCCUCAGGCCAUCUGAUUCGGCUUCGGAGGCGAGGCUCCGCACUCUAUUCGCAUAUUCCUUCACCUUCUCUCCGGGCCUUUGUCUACAGGAGAAGAAUUUCUUUCUGGCUUCUCUCUUGGGGGCCCUCCUGGAGAAUCUCUGUUCCAGGUUUUCUUUUAAUUCGUUGUAUCCCAGUUUGAUCAGGGAGGCCUGGAGGGCGAACUCUCUCGCAGCUUCUCGAAGGUGAUUGUCCAGGAGGAUCCUCCUCCUAGAAUCAUCCAGGGCUUUCACGUCGUAGACCAGUUCGAAGUCCCGGAUGAACUUGUUGAAUGGUAUGAGCCCAUUCCCCUCAAACUUCUCCAAAUGGUAUAGCGCAGACAGCAACGGCGUCUGGCUGGGGGAGGGGUCAUCUCCAGGGUGCAUGGUUCUCUCUCAGUUUGCUGUCUGAAAUAUUCCAGAUUAGUAGUGGGGAUUGUAGAAGGGAACUUCAUGCAUAAGUGGGGGCAGGGAAUCGAGGGGUGGAAGAUGGGUUCAUGGCCCAAAAGAGAAAGGAAAUUGGAGAGGUACAUGUUCAUUCAUUUGGGUGGAUAAUCGUUUUUAGAUCAAUGCUCUUUGUAGCAUCUAUGUGUUCUUUGUGACUUGCAUAUCUUGGUUUAAAAAAAAAAAAGGUAUGCAAGAAAUGCAAAAAAAAAAAAAAAGGUUAGAGAUAUCUAGAAAUUUCUCCUAUCAAUUUACCUAAUUCCUUAACACGUGCUUGUGUCUAUUGUCACUUAGCGGCUGUUAUUAGAAAUUUCCUUCUUAUAUUUAUACAGUAUGAAGGCAUAGUAGUUAAAGGCUGUAUUUCCAUGAGUUUUCAUCUCUCUUACAACAUGUUGAAACAAAAUUAAAUGGGGUUAUAAGAUCACUGUCUAUGGGGUAACAGGUGCAUAUUGGAUUGGGAAAUGACAAAGUUAUUUCGCCCUUUAAGAUACUAAUUGUGACUGAGUUUUCUGUUGAGUUAUGAUGAUACACUGAGAAUUUGAUAGGUAAUUUAUUUUGCAGGACUGUGCUGCAUUUCAAAGGUUUUGUUUGUUCCUGGGUUAGCAAUUUUUUAUUAUAUAUAAUCUCUCCUUGUUUGUACACUAUAAUUAGCUGAAGAAGUGCUUGCCCGAAAGCUUCCCUUAAUCGCGUUAAUAAAAAAGAGUUGCGGUGAUAUAUGAUUCCCUCUCUGAUUUGUCGAAAUCCGCAAACCGUUUACCAAGAAUAGGGGGUGUAAGAAGGGGUGGUGAGUAUUUACACAGGUAUUAUGAUUCUUAAAUUACAACAUAUAUGUGAUAUCUUGGGACCUCUGGGACCAGUGUUACCUGAUGCUAGACGAACCUCGAUGUCAACUCUACCGUGCAGUCGUGGUGGAAGGCGACACAGCUGGGCCAAAGGUGAAAUAAACAAACAGAGAUUCCACUAAGAAGCGUCUGACGUCAAGAAGGAAUGGGAUGAGCGGAGAGAGAGAUCUUUAGAGCAAGUGUUACCAUGGUGGGAUCUAAGCGCCGACUGCCUAUCCUAGGUUCUCGAUUUAACACCAAGACCUAUCUUCUUUCCCAUUGGUCGAAAGGUGUCACGUGGCCGUUUUCUAUUGGCUGACCUAAUUAGGUGUUACCUUCUAAUUGGUCCUUGCUGAUUUCUUUGUCGGAAGACAUGUUCGGCCUUGCCCAGGAAAUACUGGUCGUUAAGCUCAACUUUUAUGAUUUCCGCGAUCAUAAAAUUGUCUGUAAUUUUAUUAAUAGUGGUGCUG